rnacentral:rRNA from 1 species
UGGGGAAUAUUGGACAAUGGGCGCAAGCCUGAUCCAGCCAUGCCGCGUGAGUGAUGAAGGCCCUAGGGUUGUAAAGCUCUUUCACCGGUGAAGAUAAUGACGGUAACCGGAGAAGAAGCCCCGGCUAACUUCGUGCCAGCAGCCGCGGUAAUACGAAGGGGGCUAGCGUUGUUCGGAUGUACUGGGCGUAAAGCGCACGUAGGCGGACUUUUAAGUCAGGGGUGAAAUCCCGGGGCUCAACCCCGGAACUGCCUUUGAUACUGGAAGUCUUGAGUAUGGUAGAGGUGAGUGGAAUUCCGAGUGUAGAGGUGAAAUUCGUAGAUAUUCGGAGGAACACCAGUGGCGAAGGCGGCUCACUGGACCAUUACUGACGCUGAGGUGCGAAAGCGUGGGGAGCAAACAGG